CUGUUGUUAUUUUAUGGGUCUGCAUACGACAUUAUAUUGAGAAGAGUAUUCCCAAGUUUUAACUAUCAUGGUACAAUAUUUCAAGGUUUAAUCAGUAUAGCAAAGUCAUCAACCAAUGAUGCUUGAGAGUUAUAGGCCUUUCCGCAUAGUGAAAACUUUUCAAGCAAAAAGUUUCAUGAGUUUUUGGUGAUUUGGAUCAAUUUGGAAUUUGCUGAUAGUUCAUAGAUUUCUUUCUAGGUUUUAUGUUAGCCCUUUAAACCAGCAUAGGGAAACUUAGGUUUGAAUGAGAUCAGAGGCCCAAUUCUAGUGGUAUGAGCCAAUAUGUCGAAUGAUUCAAGUUUGACUACAUUUUUUAUACAAAUGAAAUAGCCACAGAACGAAAACCUUUAAUAUCAUUUGUUUUGCAAUUUAACAAAUUAGAAGCUUUCACCUCCACGGACAAACUCGUUAUUUCCUGCAAUUACUACAAGGUUAUUC
rnacentral:lncRNA from 1 species